rnacentral:rRNA from 1 species
CAUGCAAGUCGAGGGGAAACGACAUCGAAAGCUUGCUUUUGAUGGGCGUCGACCGGCGCACGGGUGAGUAACGCGUAUCCAACCUGCCCACCACUUGGGGAUAACCUUGCGAAAGUAAGACUAAUACCCAAUGACGUCUCUAGAAGACAUCUGAAAGAGAUUAAAGAUUUAUCGGUGAUGGAUGGGGAUGCGUCUGAUUAGCUUGUUGGCGAGGUAACGGCCCACCAAGGCAACGAUCAGUAGGGGUUCUGAGAGGAAGGUCCCCCACAUUGGAACUGAGACACGGUCCAAACUCCUACGGGAGGCAGCAGUGAGGAAUAUUGGUCAAUGGACGAGAGUCUGAACCAGCCAAGUAGCGUGCAGGAUGACGGCCCUAUGGGUUGUAAACUGCUUUUAUAAGGGAAUAAAGUGAGUCUCGUGAGACUUUUUGCAUGUACCUUAUGAAUAAGGACCGGCUAAUUCCGUGCCAGCAGCCGCGGUAAUACGGAAGGUCCGGGCGUUAUCCGGAUUUAUUGGGUUUAAAGGGAGCGUAGGCCGGAGAUUAAGCGUGUUGUGAAAUGUAGACGCUCAACGUCUGCACUGCAGCGCGAACUGGUUUCCUUGAGUACGCACAAAGUGGGCGGAAUUCGUGGUGUAGCGGUGAAAUGCUUAGAUAUCACGAAGAACUCCGAUUGCGAAGGCAGCUCACUGGAGCGCAACUGACGCUGAAGCUCGAAAGUGCGGGUAUCGAACAGGAUUAGAUACCCUGGUAGUCCGCACGGUAAACGAUGGAUGCCCGCUGUUGGUCUGAAUAGGUCAGCGGCCAAGCGAAAGCAUUAAGCAUCCCACCUGGGGAGUACGCCGGCAACGGUGAAACUCAAAGGAAUUGACGGGGGCCCGCACAAGCGGAGGAACAUGUGGUU